rnacentral:lncRNA from 1 species
UGACUUUGAGUCAUUCCCUAACCCUAACUCAUUUUCACCCGACCUCCUCGUCUUCCUCCUUCGCCUCUGAGCAGCACCUUACCCUUAUCACUCGCAACCCUUAAAACCUAGUCUCUGAGCUUCGACUGUUGUGCCUCCUCAACACCACAACCCUUCAGCACUGGCAUCGGAGAACCCCAUGAGGGAAAUCAAGGUCCGGAAGCUCGUCCUCAACAUCUCCGUCGCCGAGAGCGGCGAUUGUCUCACCAAGGCCGCCAAGGUCUUGGAGCAACUCAGCUUGAAGACUAGCCCUACAAUCUAAGACAUCAAGAACAUCCUUGGUGCCGAGAAGAUGGAGCUGCUGGGAUUGUUAAUGAUGGGUCUGAGCCUCUGAGGUGUUGUGCCAAAUGAAAGGCACGGUUGGGUUGAGUGCUCCUCUCAUGAUGCAAAGGUGUUGCUGAGACAGACAAGCCCAAAAGUAGGUGGGAAACUCAUGCAACUACUAUUCGACCAUGGCACUUCAAAAGGUAUUUAAGCAUUUCUAUGCCAUUAAAUUUGUUCCGUUUAUGUUCUAGAGAAUAAUAGAGAUUUUGUCAUGGUUUUAGCAAAGUAAGGCAAAAAGAAUGAGAUAUUCUACUGGGAUUGAUCGAAACCAAGUAAAGGUGUGAACUUUGAUCUUUGAUGUUGAUUAUAUUUCAGUUUGGGGAGUACCCAUUUCGGUUUUGUAAGUAAAGGUGUAAGCUUUAUUGACUGUCUUUUGGAGAAGCAUAGGGUGUUGUAGAGGUGUUUGCUUGUACUUGCUUUGAUUGGCACUUGUAGGGUGAUUGGUGAUGGUGUUCUCACACCAGCUAUUUCUGGUAAUUUUUGGGUUAUGGAUGGUAAAGUUGGAAAAAGUUUCUAUUUAGGACUAACUGGGAUUUUGCUUUAAAUUGGUGCAGUGUUUUCUACUGUUUCUAGACUUGAGUUUUCUAUGUCCGAAAAGCAUCACAAAUAAUUAAAGCCAUACAACAGGUGGACUGCCGACUUUUAUUGAUGUUGGAAAUAGCUUUGGUGCUCUAGCAAUUGUUGAAGAUAAUUUGUUACAUCAGUUGGCUCAAAUUCUCAAUAUUAGCUAAAGUGCACUUCUAUGUCAUGUUCUGUAGCCUUGCCUUUCUAUCAUAAGCUGAAAUCAAUUAAGGUGUGCCCGUUGUUAGACUGAUGUUCCUCUGUGCAUCGUUUACCGUUAUUCCAGUCUCCUGCUCUUAUUCAGUGGGCGGUAAAGGAUCGGAAAGGGUAUACCCAACAACAACUUGACGAGGUGCGCAUUGAAGUAGCCGACUACUUACAGACUGCUGCAGAUUCUGACCAGUUUCUUGAUUUUGAGUUAGGCUAGCUUUUGAUUA